UCCCUGGUGGUCCAGUGGUUAGGACGCCACGCUUUCAGUGCUAAGGGCCCAGGUUCAAUCCCUGGCCUGGGAA
rnacentral:tRNA from 2 species